rnacentral:rRNA from 1 species
CUACGGGGCGCUGCAGUGGGGAAUAUUGCACAAUGGGCGCAAGCUUGAUGCAGCCAUGCCGCGUGUAUGAAGAAGGCCUUCGGGUUGUAAAGUACUUUCAGCGGGGAGGAAGGGAGUAAAGUUAAUACCUUUGCUCAUUGACGUUACCCGCAGAAGAAGCACCGGCUAACUCCGUGCCAGCAGCCGCGGUAAUACGGAGGGUGCAAGCGUUAAUCGGAAUUACUGGGCGUAAAGCGCACGCAGGCGGUUUGUUAAGUCAGAUGUGAAAUCCCCGGGCUCAACCUGGGAACUGCAUCUGAUACUGGCAAGCUUGAGUCUCGUAGAGGGGGGUAGAAUUCCAGGUGUAGCGGUGAAAUGCGUAGAGAUCUGGAGGAAUACCGGUGGUGAAGGCGGCCCCCUGGACGAAGACUGACGCUCAGGUGCGAAAGCGUGGGGAGCAAACAGGAUUAGAUACCCUCGUAGUC